ACAUGAGCCCUUGUUUCCAGUAUGUGAGUCAUCAUUGCCACCAAUGGUCUGGGUCGUUGGCUGUGCACACACAUCCACAGACAGUACAACAACAGCCUCUAGUCCCUUGUUGCUGACCUUUGGGAAGCUGGGCAUGUAAGAAGCUUCUCAGUCUGGACAGCCAUCAGAAAGAAGUGGCUAUGCCACACCCCACUUCUCAG